CCCCUAAUUUUUUUGAAGCAAAAAAAGCGUUCUUGUAGAAUACCAUAAGCAACGGUUUUCUUAUACCGUAGCGAUAUGGUACUGAACUUUAAAAACAAUAUGCAACGACUAAAAAGCGCUCUCUUAUGAUACAACCAUAACGGUUUUUUAUUGAAUCUUUUUUGGCAACCACAAAAACUGUUCUGCUAUAAUUUCUAAUUAUUUAUUAAAUAAAAAAUAUAAAACUGUUCUUCUUUGUGUGCAAAAAUUUCACAUUAUCAUCGUAUUCCCAAAGUACAAAUCUAAAUUACAUAGAGAUAGAAACUCGUUUUCUUCCAUUCUACGAAAUCAGCAAACCCCUUUCAUAUGAGAAGCUCAAAAUCCCUACUCCAAAUCACAAACAACAAAUCCCUAAAUCCCUUUGGUGCAAAAUUAUCAACUCCAAGAACCCUAAACUCACUAAUGAUCCCUUCUCGAUUGGUUUCAUUCCAACGCACCCGAAACUCUCACUGAAUCUCCCUCUCGAAGUUUCAAUCUCCCUCUCAGGAAGCAAAACGAAAAAAACGAAAAAAAGUAUCAAUCCCUAAUUUCUCUCUCAGUCACGAUACUUCAAUCCCUAAUUCCUCUUAUGAAGCUUCAAUGACUCGUUCACUGAUUCUAUUUAUUGAAUCGCGGUUUAGUUCGAAGCCCAAUCGCAGUUUCAACAACGCCUCAGUUCGAAGUUCAAUCGCAAUUUCGACAGGCAGCAAAUAUGCCAGCUUCGAUGCUCCUGUUUUUUCGCCAUCAUCCUUGAAUAUCUCGCCACUGAGAAUGUAAUCCACCAUUCUUCGAGUUGUUGCUUGGAUUCUCUAUGAAAUUGCUUCUUCUCUCAAUCUAAUGGAAUUUGUUGCGGGUGAUAUAAAUGAUCAUGAAUCUAUUGGUAAGGCAAUUAAGUAAGUUGAUAUCGUGAUCAUAUGUGCUGCUGGUAAGCUACUAAUUGAGGUUGUUAGACUCUUGGUAGUAGAAAUGCAGAAUUUGCAAUUUACAGGAUGGAAGAAUUGACUUUUAUUGAGCAUGUUUCUCUCAAUAACAACUUAGAAGACACAUCACCAAGAAGCUAUCCAGCAAGUUUUGCACCUGUAGAUUAGUAUGGAACUUAUUCAAUGAGAAUAAGGUUUUGAGGCUUCUUGAUUUUCUAGUCAGCCUAUUGGAGCAUCCACUUGGCGAGGUCAUUGAAUUUGUAAUUUUUGGUUGGUUCUCCUGGUAUUCAAGUUUAUCGUGCUCCUUUUUUAUUCAGAAACUUGUCGAAAUUACUCCUGGAAGACAUUCAGGUUUGAAUGUUAUAUGCAAUGAUUAUGUUGGAUUGCGUCUCGUUGAGAAGAGGACCAAGGAAGAAGUUCACAAUAAAGAGGAGUUAAACAAAGAACAAGUCAAUGGAAAUCUCAUAUAUGAUGAAUAAUUUCAAGAUUUGGAAGCACAAGAUGAAGAAAUAGAAGUUGAUACUGAUGUUUUUUUUAUUUUAUAGACGUUGAUGGAAUUUAAACCUAAACUUGUUCCGGAGCUCAUUAGGGACCAAUACAAGGAGUUCUUCCAUGUUCAGAAACUCUCUCCUGUCCUAGAUAUUCAAGUUGUUUGCAUGUUAAUUGUGGUGGAAACAAUAUACAGGUGAGGGAAAAUGGUAAAACUAUCCUCUAUAUUGGAUUGGAGAUGGAGAUGUGACGGGGGAUGCUGCUAAAUAUUAUAUUGAUUCUGAAAAUCAUUGGGGUUUUAGUAGGCCGGGGACUUCAUGGAUGACUUCAUCAAUAAAUACAACAGCUCGUGAUUUGACAUCAUCAAGUAUGCCAGAAAUAUAUACAACAGCUCGUGCAGCUCCCAUUUUGCUUACUUAUUUUCACUAUUGCCUAAAGUUACUAGUACAUUUGAAGAUUUUGUAUCAAUUCAAGGUGAAUGAUUCACAUUGGAAUAUACAUUUAAGAUAGUUUCAUUUUGAAGUGGCAUGGUCUAUUUCAUUUUGAAGAUGCUAGUUUGAUUAAUGUGAAUGAUUGACAAUAUUAGGACAACUUUAUGUUGAUCGAUGUUAUUUUGAUAUA